UACGUAGGGUGCGAGCGUUUAAUCGGAAUUACUGGGCGUAAAGCGUGCGCAGGCGGUUCGUUAAGUCAGAUGUGAAAGCCCCGGGCUCAACCUGGGAACUGCAUUUGAAACUGGCGGGCUUGAGUGUGGCAGAGGGGGGUGGAAUUCCGCGUGUAGCAGUGAAAUGCGUAGAGAUGCGGAGGAACACCGAUGGCGAAGGCAGCCCCCUGGGCCAACACUGACGCUCAGGCACGAAAGCGUGGGGAGCAAACAGG
rnacentral:rRNA from 1 species